rnacentral:lncRNA from 1 species
UGCACUUUUUAUUUUAGUUGUUUGUGUUCUGUCGUUGAGUUUUCUCAGUCUUGCUUUGGUGGUUUCUUUGUGAUGUACCUUGAUGAUGAUGUGAGUAGUGUAGAGUUUGGUUGGAUAAUUGGUUCAUGAUGAUUUCUGUGUAAAACUUGUGAAAUUGCAUGCAUUUGUGUUGAUAUUGUUGAGAUUGAGCAUGAUUGAUGAAUGAUAAGCAUGGUCUAUAUGUGCUUGCAAUCAAUGAAAUAAGCUGUGAGAUUUGAGCCUUGACUGUCACCAUUUUACAGUCUUAUUUCUUAUUCUUGAGUGAUUGUUCGAGCAUUCUUGUGUCUCACUAGAACUUGUCUUGGUUUCUCCCUCGAGGUCACAUAGUGUGCUUAAUAAUUUUGAGAUGAUAGAAGGCCAUCUUUGCUAGCCUAUUUAUCCCAUAUUUGUCCUAUAUCUUUAUAUAAUCCUAGUUCACCCCCUUUGAGCCUUAUUGUCCAUUUUAUUUGGUUUAGCCUUGGGUGGGAGCUUGGAAAUUGUUGAUAUGAGAUAGUGGGCGUUGUGGAGAUGUGUGACUAUGAAUUAUGAAUUUUGUUCUUGAUUGGAAAAAUCCUAGUACCCUGUAUUGUUUAGAAAAAAAAAAAAAAAAAGAAAAGAAAAAAAAAAUGGGUACGUAGGAUGCAUUAGAAAGUCAUAAUGUCAUAAGAAAUAAUUGUUGAGUUGUGGUGAUUUUCGUAUUGAAAAAUUUGGUUUUGCGGAAAGUGGAGGAUAGAAUUGAGUAAGAACGCUAUAAGGUUGGUGAUUGUGCUACAUUGAGAAUUAUCUUUUAGUCACUUAGCCAAAUAUAUCCUACCCUACCAAAGAGCCUACAUUACAACCCUCAAUAAAGACCUUUUUGAUCUUGGUUAUAGGAGCACACAUUGAGUGGUGGAGAGGUGAGACGAUUGACAAGCUUAUGGUUGAGUACUUGUUUUGCUUGAAUUGAGCGUAUACACGUCCAUGUUGA